UACGUAGGUGGCAAGCGUUGUCCGGAUUUAUUGGGUUUAAAGGGUGCGUAGGUGGUCUAUUAAGUCAGUGCUGAAAUAUCCCGGCUUAACCGGGAGGGUGGCAUUGAUACUGAUGGACUUGAGUAAAGUUGAGGUAGGCGGAAUUGACGGUGUAGCGGUGAAAUGCUUAGAUAUCGUCAAGAACACCGAUAGCGAAGGCAGCUUACUAAGCUUUAACUGACGCUGAGGCACGAAAGCGUGGGGAUCAAACAGG
rnacentral:rRNA from 1 species